AUCACCGGAUGCUUACGAGCAGAAAGUGAUUAAAUCACGUUAUCUAGAGGAAGGAGAAGUCGUAACAAGGUAACGGUAGGUGAACCUGCCGUUGGAUCAGUU
rnacentral:ncRNA from 1 species